UACGGGGGGAGCAAGCGUUGUUCGGAUUUACUGGGCGUAAAGGGCGCGUAGGCGGCCACCGCAAGUCGACUGUGAAAUCUCCGGGCUUAACCCGGAAAGGUCAGCCGAUACUGCGGGGCUAGAGUGCAGAAGGGGCAACUGGAAUUCUCGGUGUAGCGGUGAAAUGCGUAGAUAUCGGGAGGAACACCAGUGGCGAAGGCGGCGACCUGGGCCAAUACUGACGCUGAGGUGCGAAAGCGUGGGGAGCAAACGGGG
rnacentral:rRNA from 1 species